UCUACUCUUUUCCACUCCCACACAACCUUUUUCCUCCAGUUUUCCUUUUUUUCACUUUCUAACACCUUAAUACCUAAUGAACACACAGUGUCCCAUUAGGUAUUAAGGUGUUAGAAAGUGAAAAAAAGGAAAACUGGAGGAAAAAGGUUGUGUGGGAGUGGAAAAGAGUAGA